rnacentral:rRNA from 1 species
UCAGCAUGCCGCGUGUGUGAAGAAGGCCUUCGGGUUGUAAAGCACUUUUGUCCGGAAAGAAAUCGCGCUGGUUAAUACCUGGCGUGGAUGACGGUACCGGAAGAAUAAGCACCGGCUAACUACGUGCCAGCAGCCGCGGUAAUACGUAGGGUGCGAGCGUUAAUCGGAAUUACUGGGCGUAAAGCGUGCGCAGGCGGUUUUGUAAGACAGGCGUGAAAUCCCCGGGCUUAACCUGGGAAUUGCGCUUGUGACUGCAAGGCUAGAGUGCGUCAGAGGGGGGUAGAAUUCCACGUGUAGCAGUGAAAUGCGUAGAGAUGUGGAGGAAUACCGAUGGCGAAGGCAGCCCCCUGGGACGUGACUGACGCUCAUGCACGAAAGCGUGGGGAGCAAACAGGAUUAGAUACCCUGGUAGUCCACGCCCUAAACGAUGUCAACUAGUUGUUGGGGAUUCAUUUUCUCAGUAACGUAGCUAACGCGUGAAGUUGACCGCCUGGGGAGUACGGUCGCAAGAUUAAAACUCAAAUGAAUUGACGGA